rnacentral:rRNA from 1 species
UAUCCUACGGGGCGCAGCAGUGAGGAAUAUUGGUCAAUGGGCGGGAGCCUGAACCAGCCAAGCCGCGUGAAGGAAGAAGGCGCCAAGCGUCGUAAACUUCUUUUGUCGGGGAACAAAGGGCGCCACGUGUGGCGUUGUGAGUGUACCCGAAGAAAAAGCAUCGGCUAACUCCGUGCCAGCAGCCGCGGUAAUACGGAGGAUGCGAGCGUUAUCCGGAUUUAUUGGGUUUAAAGGGUGCGCAGGCGGAGGUGCAAGUCAGCGGUCAAAUUGCGGGGCUCAACCCCGUACUGCCGUUGAAAC